CAUUAAAUGCAUUGAGUCAUAAAAGCGGAACAAAA
rnacentral:sRNA from 1 species